rnacentral:misc_RNA from 1 species
GAGAAUCAAGAAAAGAAAAUAUAACCUGCUUAUAAUCCAGAAAAGGCAAACAUUGUCCUAUCACGAAUGAAACAGAUGUCCAAAUAGACUUCCAGACAGGCCCGAAGGGGACCAACUAUAAACCAUUCUUUAAUUUUAGGCAGACAUUGCAGGGAAAACUAAUGGGGGGAAUAAAAAACCUUUCGUAAUUUAAGUCAUGCAGUCCACAGUUACCCUUAACAUGGGGAACCAUUUGUAGUGUACUUAGCCUAGUCUUUCUUGGUGAAGUGUCGGACUGCAUAGGCUAAGCCUAAGAUCAAGAGAGGCACGAGAAACUGCAAGAUCUUGAUAAAAAAGUCUGAGCUCUUAUCACGAUUGUAGGCAGCUUGUUUUGGAGGAAUGUGGUUACGUUUUGCCAGAAUAGUUGAUGCAUCAAUCUCACCAAUGUAGUACUUUUCCAUCAUCUCUCUAGCUGAAUCACUGUGACCCACAUCUUCAAAAUCAUUUGUUGCAUCUUUCCCUAAAAGAAUAAUAUUUAAAAAAAAAACAAAAAAAGAAUAUAAUCUCAAAUAAGCGUUGAAAUUUAGGCCUUGCUCUACUAAAUUGAAAAUUAUACAACUAGCACUGUAGCAUUACCAGUUGAUGACAGCAGAACUUCAUCUCCUCCAGGAUGGUCAUCCAUGAAGGGGGUGACAUCAUACACCUGAAUUUGAAGCUCAAAACUUUAAUUAACAAAUAAAAUCAAGGCAUAAGAAAACAUAUCAUGCCACAUAUACGUUGCCCUUAUUACCAUGUCAAAGAAAAAAAAAUACUCAGAUAAGAGUCUACACAUCUUGAAGAGCAGCAGGCGCAAGUGCAUUACUUACAAUUGUGAAUACCCAGGAAAAAAACCUUGUACUGUAUGCAACAUGAAAUUAUACUCUUUAUCACAUCAAAUCAAACCUACGACCCAAAUAGAUAGAGUUUUUAAUAAUGUAUGAAUUAUCCAACUUCUUAAGUUAAAGAACUGAUUUACCAUCAUCAGUAUCCUUCCACGAGUGCAAGUACCAUCCAUCCAGUAAUUUAUACUUUAAAUACAGUUUCUAUCAUUUAUGCAUAUUGAAGUUCAAAAGGGUUAUUGCAAUCUCAGUUAUUGCCGCUCAUGAAAACAGAACUUCAUUUGAAAUUGAGGGUAAAGAUGUGUUACUCAUGCAUGCAAGAUAGAGGUUGAAUGUAACUGAUGUACCACCACUCCUUUAUUUUAUGAUCUGAUUUUUCCAUAAAUUGUAGAUAGGCCUGGCCAUGGUCUGAUCAAAACUAGAACCAAAAACCAUUCAACAGUUCCUAGGCCCAGCCCGAACCGAAACUUGCACUAAUCAGUCCCCUCUUGAAGCUCGUCAACUGGACUGGAUCCACCAGUCUGGGCCGGUUUACCCGCUUUUAAAAAUAAUAAUAAUUAUUAUUAUGUGACAUUCCCUGGGUGUGUUGCAUGACGCGCUCACAGGCUAAUGCCUACAACCCCUUUUUUGUUACCAUUGCAAGAAAGCAACAAUUUUUAUUUUUUAUUAAUUUAAAAAAAAAAUUGUAAAUGUCAAUUUACAUUAUAACAGUCAAAUAACGGCUAUAUUUUAAGGACAUUUUGGAUAAGUAAAAAAAAAAAUUGCUUAUAAAUACCUAACAAUUUUCAUUUCUAAACCACUCUCAAUUCUCUCAACUCUCUCAACUUUUUAUCAACCCUCUAAACGUCUCUCAAUUUUACUCAUUUAUUUGAUUUUAUUUUUUUAAAUACAAAAAAAAAGUCAAGUCUAUGUUCAAUACCGUGUUAAGAAAUAACAAAAGUAAGGGAAAAAUUGGAAAAACUAAAUCUUCCUUUGACUCUAAUUUUCAAUUUAUGAGAACUAAUACUUUUGAUGAAUCAUUCGAGAGCCAACAAGCCCAACACUUACACACUCAUCCAACCCAAGAAAGUGAGCAUAUCAAUACAGAAGAUGACAAAGACAAAGCACCAGCUUUUCAACCCAAUCGGACCAAGGAGGAAAAUCUCUAAAAUCCAAUAUAUUUCAUGCUCAUUUGAUUAAACUUAAUCCAAAUAAUCAAGUGAAAAUAAAAUGCAACCACUGUGAACCUUUUGAAAUUCAAGGAAGAGGCAAAUAUGAAACUUUUAAACCACACCACCAAGAUAAACAUUUGAUCAAGCAUAUUAAUCAAUUUAAGUCUUCACAAUCACCACAAGUCUUCCAAAGUUCAUAUAACGUCGUGAAAAAGAACUUAUCUUGUUCAUUCGGAGAAGAACUACAAUUUCAAAUUUUUUUACAAAAUGGUUAAACAGUCAAUUUAAAAGGUUCCAAGAAAUACAUUAAAAAGAACAAUCAUUUCAACGUUUUACAAGAAAAAUUGAGUUAGUAAAGGUACUUAACAGGUUGGAACACUGAGUUUUUAUUGGUUUCGAUGUUUGGAGCAAUCACUGAAAAAUUAAUUUAUAUAAGGGAAUAACUUAUCAUUGGGUUCAUGAAUUUUUUUUUUGUGAAAUAAAAAAAGAAUUUUGGCUUUUAGAAUUUUUAAUGAAAAACAUAUUGAUCAAAAUCUGAUUUCCUCUAAAUAUAAUUUUGAAAGGCCUUAAUAUUUCCUCUAAUUAUCAGUUUUAUGGUUUUUCUUGAUGAGCUAUGUUCUGAACACUGGAAUCACGAAAACAGACACAACAAAGACCAACCAAUCAUCAAAACAGAGCAUAAUUUCCUUCAGCAUUAUGCAGAACAACAAAAUACUUGCAAAUAAAUUCAAUACAAAAAGGGUGCAAGAAAUUCAAUCACAACAAUCAACUUUCUGAUCUUCAAAUCUUGUGACAAACAACGGAAAAAAGAUCAAAACUCAAAUAAAAUAGAAAAUCGAACCUUGCCAGAGAUAAUGAGCCAACAAUCCUUAGUUUUAUUGUGCUUUGCAACCUCAUCGAAUUUGUGAAUUUUGGGAUCUGAAGCCAUCGUUUUCUCCCCUAAAGUCUUGCAGAGAAGGUGUGUUCAAAGCCAACUCUUUGUUUUUGUCAACUGACCUGUCAAAGCCCAAAACUGAGU